GGCACAAAGUGGAUGCCUUGACUCAUAUAUCCGAUGAAGGACGUGCAAGACUCACGAUAAGCCCCGGGAAGCUGUCAAGAAGCGUUAUACCCGAGGAUCUCCGAAUGGGGGAACCCAAUACGGUAAACCCGUAUUAUCUGCAGAGCAGAUGGACACCCAGCGAAUUGAAAUAUCUUAGUAACUGGGGAAAAGAAAUCAAACGAGAUUCCGUUAGUAGUGACGAGCGAAAGCGGAAGAGCCUAAACUCAUAGUGUGUCAAGCGUUAGAGCGUUGCACUGUGGGGGUUGUAAGAGCAUAUUACUGACUUCUAAUAGGUCAGACAAACAAAUAUCCUGGAUAGGAGAACCACUUGAAAAGAUGGACCGUAGAGGGUUACAGUCCCGUACUCGAAAUCCAAGAUAUUGAUUUGCAUGUGUUUCUUGAGUAGGGUCAGACACGAGAAAUCUGGCUUGAAUCUGGGGGGACCACCCUCCAAGGCUAAAGAGUAUAUGAGAUCGAUAGUGAACAAGUACCGUGAGGGAAAGGUGAAAAGAACCCCGGGAGGGGAGUGAAAUAGAACCUGAAACUUUGUGCCAAUAAAGAGUCGGAGCCUUCGGGUGACGGCGUACUUUUUGUAGAACGGACCAACGAGUUAGCUGUAUGUGGCAAGGUUAAGGAAGAGUUCAUCCGAAGCCGUAGGGAAACCGAGUCUGAAUAGGGCGACUAAGUCACAUGCACUAUACCCGAAACCUGGUGAGCUACCCAUGAGCAGGCUGAAGGUGGGGUAAAACCCACUGGAGGGCCGAACCAUUUGGAGCUGCAAGUCCAUUGGAUGACUUGUGGGUAGGAGUGAAAAGCUUAUCGAACUGGGAGAUAGCUGGUUCUCCGCGAAAUAUAUUUAGGUAUAGCCUCAUAAAGCAACGUACAGAGGUAGGGCUCUGAUAGGGCUAGCGGGUCGCAAGACUUAGCAACCCCUGAUAAACUUCGAAUGCUGUACGCCAAGUAUUAUGAGAGUCAGACAGUGACGGAUAAGCGCCAUUGUCAAAAGGGAAACAGCCCAGAUUGCUGUCUAAGGUCCCAAAGUUGUGGCUCAGUGGAAAAGGAGGUAGGAUUACAUAGACAACCAGGAUGUUGGCUUAGAAGCAGCCACUCAUUCAAAGAGUGCGUAAUAGCUCACUGGUCGAGUGAUCCCGCGCCGAAAAUUCAACGGGGCUUAAGCCACACACCGAAGACGCAAGUUGCACCUAGUGCAGCGGUAGCGGAGCGUUCUCUAUGCCAGUGAAGGUGAACCGGAAGGUUUGCUGGAGGUACGAGAAGUGAAAAUGUUGGUAUGAGUAACGUAAUGGAGAUGAAAACUCUCCACGCCGUAUGUCCAAGGUUUCCUAUCCAACGUCAAUCGUGGUAGGGUGAGCCGGUCCUAAGGUCAACCUGAAAGGGGUAGCUGAUGGAUAGCAGGUUAAUAUUCCUGCGCUACACGGUAUUCGUUAUCAUCUAUGGAGGGACGCAUAGUGUACAUGGAGUGGAUCUAAUGGAUUUCCACAUGUUUAUAAUCUGGCUGCGCAGGUAAAUCCACGCAGCAAUACAGAGAAGAAAGCAUCUAGCUUUCGAGAAGUCUUCGGACCUAUCGGAGGUCAAGUCCUACAUGUGCAUUGUGCCAAGAAAAUCUUCUACGAGAGAAUACCUGUAACCGUACCGUAAUCGAACACUCGUGGACUAGUGUGAGUACACUAAGGCGAACGGGAUAAUCAUGCUUAAGGAACUCUGCAAAACAGCGGUCGUAACUUCGGGAUAAGACCUCCCACAUCACUACUUUAAUGAUGUGGGCGCAGCUAACGAGCCCAGGCGACUGUUUACCAAAAACACAGCUCUCUGCAAACACGCAAGUGGAAGUAUAGGGGGUGAUGCCUGCCCAGUGCCAGAAGAUUACGUGGAGGGGUGCAAGCUCUGAAACUAAGUCCUGGUGAACGGCGGCCGUAACUAUAACGGUCCUAAGGUAGCGAAAUUCCUUGUCAGGUAAGUUCUGACCCGCACGAAUGGCAUAACGGUCUGGGCACUGUCUCAAGCAUGAUCCCGGUGAAAUUGCAAUAUCGGUAAAAAUGCCGAUUACUCGCAGCAAGACGGAAAGACCCUAUGAAGCUUUACUCUAACUUGGUACUGAGUUGUAUGAUAUGAUGCGCAGGAUAGGUGGGAGACUAUGAAACAGGAACUUCGGUUUUUGUUGAGUCGACGUUGAGAUACCACCCUUCAUAUUAUGCAACUCUCACCCAGCGCUUUGAUUACAAAACGUAAUCGAGCGUGGGAUGAGAAAUCAAAGANNNNNNNNNNNNNGUAACCUCUAUUAUUCACAUCUUCUAGCAAACGAAAACAAGAGAAAAUAUGAAAGAGAAAAUAUGAAAGAUAUAAUCCCUAAAAAGAUUCCAAUCUCUCAUAAAUUUUCUAAACAUAUACUUCUCAUUUUGUAUUCAGUGCGCUGGGGACCGUGCUUGGUGGGGAGUUUAACUGGGGCGGUUGCCUCCUAAAAUGUAACGGAGGCGCACAAAGGUGGGCUAGUUCCGGAUGGAAAUCGGAACGAUAGUGUAUUCGCAUAAGCCCGCUUGACUGAGAGACCAACAAGUCGAUCAGAGACGAAAGUCGGUGAAAGUGAUCCGGCACCAACACGUGGGAGUGGUGUCGCUCAACGGAUAAAAGUUACUCUAGGGAUAACAGGCUGAUUGCGUCCAAGAGUUCACAUCGACGACGCAGUUUGGCACCUCGAUGUCGGCUCGUCGCAUCCUGGGGGUGGAGAAGCUCCCAAGGGUAUGGCUGUUCGCCAUUUAAAGCGGUACGCGAGCUGGGUUCAGAACGUCGUGAGACAGUUUGGCCCCUAUCUGCUGUGAGCGUUUAGAAAUUUGCGAAGAUUUGUUCCUAGUACGAGAGGACCGGAAUGAACGAACCUCUGGUGUAUCGGCUGUCAGGCCUACUGGCAGCGCCGAGUAGCUACGUUCGGAAAGGAUAACCACUGAAAGCAUCUAAGUGGGAAGCCAACUUCAAGAUGAGAUUUCUCCAGUCGCAAGACUGAUAAGUGCCCUUGGAGACUACAAGGUUGAUAGGUUGCAGGUGUACGGACAGCAAUAUCUUUAGCCGAGCAAUACUAAUAGCACGAAUGGUAUUUA
rnacentral:rRNA from 1 species